CCACCCACAGCAGGAAAGCAUCCUGCCAACGUGUUUACUCACUGCUGGGAUGAGCACACCCAAGAUGAGAAAGUUCUCUUAACCAUGACAGGAAACCAUUUUCCGUCACAGUCCUUUGGGUGUUUUACAAACACCGCAGGAGGAAGCUCUGCCUUCGGGACCUGCCAAGGACACCGAGGGCACCUGAUGGUGGUGCAGGGGACAGCAGUGCCCGGCUGUGACUCCUCCUGCCAGGGCACUGUGGGAGCAACACACGGCUGGAUUAAGUGACAGGAGCAGCGUCAGGGGAGGUGAGACACCUCC